GACGAACGCUGGCGGCGUGCUUAACACAUGCAAGUCGAACGGAAAGGCCCUGCUUUUGUGGGGUGCUCGAGUGGCGAACGGGUGAGUAACACGUGGGUAACCUGCCCUUGACUUUGGGAUAACUUCAGGAAACUGGGGCUAAUACCGGAUAGGAGCUCCUGCUGCAUGGUGGGGGUUAGAAAGUUUCGGCGGUUGGGGAUGGACUCGCGGCUUAUCAGCUUGUUGGUGGGGUAGUGGCUUACCAAGGCUUUGACGGGUAGCCGGCCUGAGAGGGUGACCGGCCACAUUGGGACUGAGAUACGGCCCAGACUCCUACGGGAGGCAGCAGUGGGGAAUAUUGCACAAUGGGCGGAAGCCUGAUGCAGCAACGCCGCGUGCGGGAUGACGGCCUUCGGGUUGUAAACCGCUUUCGCCUGUGACGAAGCGUGAGUGACGGUAAUGGGUAAAGAAGCACCGGCUAACUACGUG
rnacentral:rRNA from 1 species